GAGCUGGCAGAGUCACCCACAGCUUUUAAACAGCACGGAUGAGAAAGUAGCCAUGUUUCUGUUGUGUUUUGGAAAUACAGGAUAAAACACUCCCUACAUAAUACAUGUUUUGAUGACUUCAAGGCUUAAGGAAGACGGAUCUAAAAGGGAUCCCCUUGCUGCAUCAUAACAGAGGAAGCAACAGCUUGUCAGGAGAAUAACUUGAAUGAAAGGAAGUAACUAAUCCAAUGAUGGACUGAUGACACCUUCGAUGCAGUACAAGGCUGCAGGAAAGAUCGAUUGGCUCAGUGCAAGAUGAAGAAUAGUCCUACUGCCAGCAGUCGCUGCCUGCCUGAGACCCAAACUGGUUGCACACAGGAGCCUAUGAACAAACCCCGCUGUUGUCCUGUCAAGGCUCUGCUGUUCACUGCACUGAAGACCAAGGAAUGUAAUCGUGUGAUUCAUUUGGAAGCUCCUUUCUACUGACAGUAGCUGCUGCUUGCUGUAAAUUACACUGUAUGACGAUAUGUCAUUUUUCUGAUAAAGAGUAGAUUGUUACCAUCCCUGUCUUCUGGUGUACUGAUUUAGUAGUUAAACUCUCUGGGUAAACUGGGGAGAGUUUACAAGAAGACAUAUCAUCCUUAAUAUUUAAAAUACACUUUAAGAUUAAUGACUAAUUGUGUGGGAAUAAUGUCAUCUGUAUGUUUGCAUUAUAGCUCUAUGAUCAAAGACGGUUUUCUAAGAUAUAAUCUAAGCUCACUUAAAUCCUAAUGAGAAAUUACAUGGGAAUGUUGGUAUUUCAACAAUCCACAAGAGUAGCUGAGCUCAAUUAUCCAGAUGUCAUAAGGGAUUUGUUUGGAUAAUUGAGACUUCUGACCACUGAG
rnacentral:lncRNA from 14 species